GCAAACUCACCGCGCGCCCGCCGGGGAUAGCUUUCCAUACAGGUAAAACCGAAAACCGAAUUUUCCAAAAAUGCACCCCGACGGCGCCUGCUCUUAGUACCGUGGGGAUGGGAGGGAAAUUCUUUGUAUAUAUUUGUAAAAAAAUUAUUGACUUUCCUUUUGGGGUUUUUAUUUUUUUAAGAAAAAACAAAUUCCGUAGAUUUAGAGCUCUGAACUUUCAUUUUUUUUGAAGGUUCACUCUCCGAAGUUUUAUCUGAGAAAAGAAUGUAUAGAGACGUUGGGAGAUUUUAAAUAUAAAAAAUUUUCAAAAAGGCAAAAAGUGUCAUUCUAUUAUAAAAGUCUGUUUAUAUAUGAAUGAAUAUAUAUGGUAUUCUAAAUGUUAUUCCAUCGUGUUGUACACAACUUUGUAAAUAAAUUUUUAAAAUGCC
rnacentral:lncRNA from 1 species